GCGUCGGUGGUGCAACAGUUUUAGCACGUGCUCCCAGAAAGAGUAAGAUUUGGGUUCGAAUCCCGGCUGACGCA